rnacentral:lncRNA from 1 species
AAAUGCUUCAUUAAGGUCUUCAAGGAUCCAAACAACAUUUCGCAAUAGUUCCAUCAAAUCCAUAGAUAAACAGCGCCGACAUCAACCGAUUUUUAUAGAGAUUAAAUAGGGUUUCCACAACGACUGCUAAUAUAUCUUACAUCUAACCCCCUCAGUUAACAAAUAUCUCUAGACACUCGCACCACCACCCGUCUGAUGGAGCAUCGCAUCUAUUUCAUCUCCAUCCUCCAUCUCUAGCUGCAAAGCAAAUGGGUUGAGUCACAUAUUUACGUAUAAACAUAACUACACAGAAAGAGAGAAAGAAAGAAAGGACAAACGGACCUCAUCUGGAGUCUGCUCAGCACGGAGUCUGCGGCCAUCAAACAAGAAUGCAAUGGCGUUGAGGUCAACAGACUGACGGUCACAAUAUGCACCCAUCAGCUUCUUCAAUUGGGUGCUUCUCUUUAUCCUGAAGAAGACUUCAUUCCCAUCCUACAAAAUGCAGCCGUAUUAGAAACAUGAUCAAGGGAGUGGAAGAAUCUGGUCUAAUUACAUUUACAGCAAAUGAUAAAACCCAGAAUUUUUUUUCUGUUACUAAGAUCAUAACUAUAGCAAUGAGUAUAAUACAAUACAGCUGAAUUCAUAGACUACCAUUGCAUUUGCAGAAAACAGAGAUGUAUAAUAGACCACUAUAGAAGCUUGACAAAGUAAAGUCACUUCAUUUCAAAUUUCAUAAACCAGUUAGAUUAAGAAGAAAACAUGAUCACCCACUUCCCAGGGUUUGCAAAAGUCCGCCUCUUUUACAAAUGAUAAAGUUCCAGACACAGGGAGAGAGCCUAUGAACCUUGUUGAAUUACACAACCAAAGAUACAAGUUGGUUACCACUGUCAUGUGUGGAAGUUGAACCAAUUAAGAAUCGAUCAAGAAAAAACUCAGAAGAAACAGUAGCGCAGUGAUAAAGAACUCGGAAGGGGACUCAAUUUCAAAGGCGAAUCAAUGAUAUUGAUAGGGUUAUGGAAGGAAACAUAUACUCAAUAAUCCCAAACCCUAAGUAUACUAGACAGGAUAACUUACUGCACGAUGGAAAAAAACGAAACCCUAAUCAGAAAUUUCACUUCAAUCCACUGAAGAUAACUCUAAUCUAGAAUUGCUCAAGGGAGAUGAGGAAUCGAACCUGGCCCUUGACCUUGAGGUUGAUGUGAGCUCCUUGAUCUGCCGGCUUCUUCUCCUCUUCCUGGUUGGUUACUCCUGACAUUUUAUUUUUCUCUCGUUAACUUACUCGCUUCAGGCGUAAGAUUCUGACCCUCCUCCGCUCCGACGAGAGAAAACGCUGCUGAUAUAUAAAGAUCUGACGGCGUGAACUGCAGGAGACAUAAAGCUUGGUCAAUGGUUGCUUAGGCUACGCCCAAACUGUGUGUAUGGUCAAAAACAGCUCAGGCUAGGCCCAAACAGAUGGCCCAUUUGCUAUGUAACCAUAUACUUCUGUUAAAGCCAAUUUCGGUCACUAAAGUUGAGAUCAUGUCACAAACUAGUCACUUCUUAACAAAUCUGUAACUUGUGGAAAAUUUUGGUGACGAUUCACUAGUUACGUUUGCUUACAUUCAGUAGUAGUUAUAGAAUUAUAAGUAUGUAAGUUUGAAUAAAAUCUCAUUCGUCGUCAAUUUGGAUUACUUGGGCUAGCUGGCUAGGACACGUACGUGACAUAAAAUUAUAUUGCCAAUUCAACCGAGUUUGAGUUAUAGUUCGUUUAUGACCAAAAAUAAACCUUUUGACAAUCCAAAUACUGUUAACUCUCUGUCAAAAAAGACCAACAUUGAUCACUUACUUUGGGUGGGCUGUUUUACUUUUAAGAAAGUGAGUCGCAAACGUUGGAUCACAAUAUUAGGAAACAUAGCAGCCGUCGGAUCUAGGGUUCCAAGGUUCAGCUUCCUCUCUCUCAAAAUGCCGGUUCUUUUGCAAAAUCAUCAUAGUGGAAAUCGUGGAAUCAUUGGGAUGCAACAAUUCUUGAUAUCUGAGAAGGAAUACUAGGGUACAGCAAAAAGAAGCCUUUACACCUGAUCUAUGAUACAGCAAUAACAAAAACAACAGAUAGUUAUAGAGGCAAAAAAUGCUUCAAAGAGGUCUACAAGGAUCCAGACAACAUUAUACAAAUAGUUUUCAUCAAAUCCACGUAAAUAAACAGCGCCUUAACCGGCGACAUCAUCACAUUUUUUUUAGAGUUGAAACCCAUAUUCUAAAUACGGUUCCCACACGACUGCUAAUAUAUCUUACAACUAGCCCCCCAAUUAACAUAUAUCUCUAGACACUCGCGCCACCCCCCGUCUGAUGGAGCAUCGCAUCUAUUUCAUCUCCAUCCUCCAUCUCUAGCUGCAAAGAGAAAUGGGUAAGAUCAUACAUUUAUUUAUAAACACAAGAGAAAGAAAGAAAGAAAGAAAUACGAACCUCAUCUGGAGUCUGCUCGGCGCGGAGUCUGCGGCCAUCAAACAAGAAUGCAAUGGCGUUGAGGUCAACAGACUGACGGUCACAAUAUGCACCCAUCAGCUUCUUCAAUUGGGUGCUCCUCUUGAUCCUGAAGAAGACUUCAUUCCCAUCCUACAAAAUGCAGCUGUAUUAGAAAGAAACAUAAUCCAUAGACAACAAGAGAUAUAAAGAUCACUACAGAAGCUUGACAUCUCAAAACCUAAGUCACUUCAUUACAGAUGUCGACAGGCAAAAUUAAAACAAAUUUCUCAAGCCAGUUACACUAAGACCAAACAUGAUCAAACCCCACUACAGAAGGUUUGCAGAAGUCCCGCAUUUAUCUUUAAACGCACCACAAUUUUGGAGCAGCUUACAGUCCAAUACCAGGGGCUGCUAUAAUUCAAAGCCCGCUUUAGAAAUGAUCGAGUUCCAGACAUGGAGAGAACCUAUGAACCUUGUUUAAAUACACAACCAAAGGUACAAGCUGGUUAUCACUGUUCUGUGUGGAAGUUGAACCAAUUAAGAUUCGACCAAAAAACAACUCAGAACAAACAGGAACGAGUAAUAAAGCACUCAGCAGGGGAUGCAGCUUCAAAGGCGAAUCAAUCAUAUUGACAACACGAUCAUCAAAGCAUUCUUUCGAGGUUCUAGUGAAUCAAAAUUCAAGAAAACAGAUACUGGAUAAUCCCAAACCCUACAUGAUAACCUACUGCACGAUGAACGAGCAAAACCCUAACUAACUAUAGCAACGAAACUCAGGCAAUUUCACUUCGAUCGACUGAAGAUAAUCUCUAAUUGAGUAUUUCGAGAGAACAACUCAUCCAAAAGAGAAGAUAGAGUAAAUCAAGAGAGAUGGGG